CUUUGGCACCUCGUAUCCUCUUGGAAGGAGGAGAGAGAAACAGAUGUGGUGCAAGGGCAGACGGGCAUAGGCAUCCCAGCAGCCCCCUUCUUCUCCUCCCUUCUGAGGCUGGCACUGAAGGGCAGUGCCCCUCAGGCCACUCAGUGCAAGGGCCCCUGGGCAGGUCUUACAUCUUUGGCUCAUCUUCCCCAAGACCCAGGCACUGGCUCCUCUCAGAUGUGUCUGCUGCCACCAUCCCGGCCCCAGGUCCUGGGUGGGAGAAGCUGAGCAGGAGGCAGGAAUAAAUGUCAAAGAAGGAGCAGGCUGCCAAGGGAGGGCAGA
rnacentral:lncRNA from 1 species